GACGAACGCUGGCGGCGUGCUUAACACAUGCAAGUCGAACGGAAAGGCCCUGCUUUUGUGGGGUGCUCGAGUGGCGAACGGGUGAGUAACACGUGAGUAACCUGCCCUUGACUUUGGGAUAACUUCAGGAAACUGGGGCUAAUACCGGAUAGGAGCUCCUGCUGCAUGGUGGGGGUUGGAAAGUUUCGGCGGUUGGGGAUGGACUCGCGGCUUAUCAGCUUGUUGGUGGGGUAGUGGCUUACCAAGGCUUUGACGGGUAGCCGGCCUGAGAGGGUGACCGGCCCCAUUGGGACUGAGAUACGGCCCAGACUCCUACGGGAGGCAGCAGUGGGGAAUAUUGCACAAUGGGCGGAAGCCUGAUGCAGCAACGCCGCGUGCGGGAUGACGGCCUUCGGGUUGUAAACCGCUUUCGCCUGUGACGAAGCGUGAGUGACGGUAAUGGGUCAAGAAGCACCGGCUAACUACGUG
rnacentral:rRNA from 1 species